AUGAACGCUAGCUACAGGCUUAACACAUGCAAGUCGAGGGGCAGCAUUUUAGUUUGCUUGCAAACUAAAGAUGGCGACCGGCGCACGGGUGAGUAACACGUAUCCAACCUGCCGAUAACUCGGGGAUAGCCUUUCGAAAGAAAGAUUAAUAUCCGAUGGUAUAUUUUCUCCGCAUGGUGAGAAUAUUAAAGAAUUUCGGUUAUCGAUGGGGAUGCGUUCCAUUAGUUUGUUGGCGGGGUAACGGCCCACCAAGACCACGAUGGAUAGGGGUUCUGAGAGGAAGGUCCCCCACAUUGGAACUGAGACACGGUCCAAACUCCUACGGGAGGCAGCAGUGAGGAAUAUUGGUCAAUGGACGAGAGUCUGAACCAGCCAAGUAGCGUGAAGGAUGACUGCCCUAUGGGUUGUAAACUUCUUUUAUAUGGGAAUAAAGUGUUCCACGUGUGGGAUUUUGUAUGUACCAUAUGAAUAAGGAUCGGCUAACUCCGUGCCAGCAGCCGCGGUAAUACGGAGGAUCCGAGCGUUAUCCGGAUUUAUUGGGUUUAAAGGGAGCGUAGGUGGAUUGUUAAGUCAGUUGUGAAAGUUUGCGGCUCAACCGUAAAAUUGCAGUUGAAACUGGCAGUCUUGAGUACAGUAGAGGUGGGCGGAAUUCGUGGUGUAGCGGUGAAAUGCUUAGAUAUCACGAAGAACUCCGAUUGCGAAGGCAGCUCACUAGACUGCAACUGACACUGAUGCUCGAAAGUGUGGGUAUCAAACAGGAUUAGAUACCCUGGUAGUCCACACAGUAAACGAUGAAUACUCGCUGUUUGCGAUAUACAGUAAGCGGCCAAGCGAAAGCAUUAAGUAUUCCACCUGGGGAGUACGCCGGCAACGGUGAAACUCAAAGGAAUUGACGGGGGCCCGCACAAGCGGAGGAACAUGUGGUUUAAUUCGAUGAUACGCGAGGAACCUUACCCGGGCUUGAACUGCAGCGGAAUGAUGUGGAAACAUGUCAGCGAGUAAUCGCCGCUGUGGAGGUGCUGCAUGGUUGUCGUCAGCUCGUGCCGUGAGGUGUCGGCUUAAGUGCCAUAACGAGCGCAACCCUUGUUGUCAGUUACUAACAGGUUCCGCUGAGGACUCUGACAAGACUGCCAUCGUAAGAUGUGAGGAAGGUGGGGAUGACGUCAAAUCAGCACGGCCCUUACGUCCGGGGCUACACACGUGUUACAAUGGGGGGUACAGAAGGCAGCUACCUGGCGACAGGAUGCUAAUCCCAAAAACCUCUCUCAGUUCGGAUCGAAGUCUGCAACCCGACUUCGUGAAGCUGGAUUCGCUAGUAAUCGCGCAUCAGCCAUGGCGCGGUGAAUACGUUCCCGGGCCUUGUACACACCGCCCGUCAAGCCAUGAAAGCCGGGGGUACCUGAAGUACGUAACCGCAAGGAGCGUCCUAGGGUAAAACUGGUAAUUGGGGCU
rnacentral:rRNA from 1 species